GAAGUACUCCCUCCGUCCGAAAAAGCUUGUCCCUCAGAUGGAUGUAUCUAGCAUAGUGCUAGAUACAUCCAUCUGAGGGACAAGCUUUUUCGGACGGAGGGAGUAUGCA
rnacentral:pre_miRNA from 1 species